GGGUUGGUGGUUUAAUGACUACCACUUCUGCUUCAUAAGCAGAAGGUCGUGGAAUCAAUUCCAGGCCCAUCCCU
rfam:Aedes aegypti strain Liverpool supercont1.134 genomic scaffold, whole genome shotgun sequence.